UCGGGUAUGGUGUAGCGGUAACAUCGCUGACUCUCAUGGCCUACAAGCCUGUGAUCUCAGCAGCCCGGGGUUCGACUCCCCGUAUCCGAG